CCUACGGGCGGCUGCAGUGAGGAAUAUUGGUCAAUGGGCGAGAGCCUGAACCAGCCAAGUCGCGUGAGGGAGUACUGCCCUACGGGUUGUAAACUUCUUUUAUAAAGGAAUAAAGUGAGGCACGUGUGCCUUUUUGUAUGUACUUUAUGAAUAAGGAUCGGCUAACUCCGUGCCAGCAGCCGCGGUAAUACGGAGGAUCCGAGCGUUAUCCGGAUUUAUUGGGUUUAAAGGGAGCGUAGAUGGGUUGUUAAGUCAGUUGUGAAAGUUUGCGGCUCAACCGUAAAAUUGCAGUUGAAACUGGCAGUCUUGAGUACAGUAGAGGUGGGCGGAAUUCGUGGUGUAGCGGUGAAAUGCUUAGAUAUCACGAAGAACUCCGAUUGCGAAGGCAGCUCACUGGACUGCAACUGACACUGAGGCUCGAAAGUGUGGGUAUCAAACAGGAUUAGAUACCCCAGUAGUC
rnacentral:rRNA from 1 species